AGCUCAGCGUGCAAAUCAAGGCCCCUGGUCUUGACGUGUAGUCUAAAGAAGUAUUGCCAAUGGGGGCGCAGAUGAAAGCCUCUUGGAAAAGAGCACCACUGAGGGUGAGAGUCCUGCUCCAGCAUCUGCAGACCUCCAUGCACGGUGUACGUCUAAGAGUCCCGUUCCUCGAGACUGGAGCGCNAAGUGGGUGGNAAAUUUCAUCUAAAGCUCAAUAUUGGUUUGAGACCGAUAGUGAACAAGUACC
rnacentral:rRNA from 1 species